UUAUUUACCUGGUAGGGGAGAUACCAUGAUCAUGAAGCCGGCCUUCCCAGGGUGAGGCUUGUCCAUUGUUUUCCGGAUGUGCUGACCCCUGCAAUGUCCCCAAAUGUGGGAAACUCAACUGCAUAAUUUGUAGGGAGUUGGGAGAAUGCAUUUGUGGUCUCCCCUG